CGUGGGAGUCAAGAAAUAUCUCAAGCCUUCAAAUCUAGAGGAAACCAACUGCCCGACGUUCUUCGUAUCGCAGCAUAAGCGUUUCGUAUGCACGCAUGUACGACUCAACGGAUCCCCCAUUGGUCCGUACGGAACGGAACAGAACGGAACGGAACGGAACGGAACAGAACAGAAGCGAAUGCAGCAGAAGCAAACGCUGACUGGACUCAGCAUGUUUAUUGGCGCAUCUCCGAGUCUUAAAUCUUUAUGUUGUCUCCACGGCGGAGACUGUGCAGCUAUCCUCCCUAUUCGCUGGUGGAGGACGAGGGAGUCGGUUAGAGGAAGAGUGAGAGAUAAAAGGCAUACGAGGCGGUAAGUGCGACAGAGACAAUUGUACUAGGGAGGCGGUGUCGAACUGUGGAUGAGGAAAAGGACGGAACGAGAGACGAAGAAAGGGAAAGAAAGAAGAGAAUAUAUCUCUUGUGUUGCGACCGCGAAAUCGAGUCAAGAGUCGAACGAGCAGCGCAUCUUCUGCGUUACGCACACAGAAGCUGUGCUUUUAACGUGCUUCCAGGAGGGAUUGCCGGUUGCGAAGGUAUACCUUCUACAACGUGUUAACGUAUCGAGGAGGAUUAUUGAUGGUCAUUGGUGACAUAACCGGUAACGCCGAGAGCAGUGCCGUACCUGUAUCCUCGAUCUCCUUUGACAUCUCACAUUUCUUUACGUCCAUUAAUUAUCGCCCUUGCAGAAACACCCUUAACGGAUAGCACACGUUUGGUAUAUUCUUCAUAAAAAUUAUAUCAAGUGUUGACGAAUCGUACUUGAGCAAUGUGUUAGAAUGUAAUUUGCGUUAUUAGAAAUUUCAUUGAAGAAUAUGUUCGUUUGUAAUGAUUAAGAGCAGUGCUCUUUUUUGUAAUUAUAGGUAAUUUAUACCAAGUAGUGAAAGCUUUUGUGAUAGUCAGGGCUAGUACUUGAUAUUCGAUAAGAUUGACAAUCGAAACUUGUAAAUAAUUGGGUAUAAUUAAAAAGCUUUAAUUGAUAACCUCAAAGUGGAUCAUGUGACAAUGCGUGAGGUAUCGCCACUUGGGUAUACAUAGAUGCCUAUAUGGAUGUAAAAGGAUAUACAUAGGGAUAGGUUAGAGCGACGCAAGUGACCACGAUAUAAUGUACACGCGUGUAACGUAUACGGCGUCUCUCCCCGGAGUAUGUGAAAAUGUGGGCGUAGAGGUGCGUUCGAGCUCGGCUGCUGGCAUAACAGUGGGUAAAGGAACAGCAACGAUAGAGUGUUAUCAGCAGCGUUGGAGGCGGCAGAAAGUUUAUAGCCGAUACGUGCCGUUUAUCGGACGCUAUGCUGCAUUUAGUUAAUUAAACAGCACAGUCAAUAGCUGCCGUGGUGGUGUGGCCUCCUGGUGGACUAAGCUCUGGUAACGUCCAUUUUCACAGGGAAGACUAAACGUAGGAUAUGUCAUCUACUGAAGGAGUACGCAUUACUGGAUUAGAGUGAUACAGUCGUUAAUACCCCGAAUUCGCAAGAGAUGGCGCCACUCGAUACUCGGCUAUAAUUACAAGCUAAAUCAUCCGAAGACGAUUAAAGGUCACUUAUAAUGAUUAUGUACGAUUCAUUUUUCGAAUUCUUUCUCGUGCCUACCUUCGAGUAUAUAGGUACGUGAUGGAAUUUAUCUAUAGGUAAUAGGAGCGUCUUCGUGAUCUCUUGAUCCCACAGGGUCAAUCUUACAGAAUCUUUUCGACCAAUAAUAUCCAAGCAGUGUCAGGACUUGAGAGUUUUAUGGCUUUUCGACUCGGACCUGGUACGAUUCAUGAGUGGAGGGGCGGCCGUAGCCCAGUGGUUAGGGUAGCGGAUUCAUGACCGAAAGGUUUGGGGUUCGCGCCUGGCUCCCAGCGGCAUUUGUCAAUGAGUUUUCAUAUGAAAACUUAAGUCGUCCGCAUGCUUAGUUGUAUAAGGCCCGUCUCGGAAGGUACAUCGCCAUCUAGUGUCGAACUUCCAAUUUUGAUUAUUAGGACUAGUUACUGGCACAUGUUCCCCAUUGGGGAGAGGGGGGAUACAGUCCCAACGAAAGGAAGGAAGGAAGAAAAGGAUUCACGAGUGGACAACGUCGAGGCUACGAAAGAACUAAAACCUGUUAACACAAUCGGAUUGGCCCGUUUUGGUUUUGACGAUCACCAAGUGAAUUAUCAUCGGCGAUCGCUGACGCAACAAACUUUCCGACCGGCAACAUGAUCUCUGACCUUCCAAAGUCACGAGCUGUUUUACGCGGUUACAGCGCGAAUCACUAACGGGAAUCUGAUCAACUGCAAAACGGGGG